GAAUUGGUAGCUCAGGUGGCAGAGCAUUCGGCUUUUAACCGAUUGGUCCUGGGUUCAAAUCCCAGCCAAUUCA
rnacentral:tRNA from 1 species